AAUGAACGCUGGCGGCGCGCCUAAUACAUGCAAGUCGAGCGAGAAGACGUAGCAAUACGUUUGUAAAGCGGCGAACGGGUGAGGAAUACAUGGGUAACCUACCCUCGAGUGGGGAAUAACUAGCCGAAGGUUAGCUAAUACCGCGUACGCUCCUUGGACUUCGGUUCAGGGAGGAAAGCGAUACCGUGGGUAUCGCGCUCUUGGUUGGGCUCAUGUCCUAUCAGCUUGUUGGUGAGGAACGGCUCACCAAGGCUUCGACGGGUAGCUGGUCUGAGAGGACGAUCAGCCACACUGGCACUGCGACACGGGCCAGACUCCUACGGGAGGCAGCAGUAAGGAUAUUGCGCAAUGGGCGAAAGCCUGACGCAGCGACGCCGC
rnacentral:rRNA from 1 species